rnacentral:lncRNA from 1 species
UGCACCUUAUUGAUCUGUCUCUGCUCCAUAUAGUACAUGAAGUGAUGCUUAUAUCUAGCAGCUUCACAAAUGAUAAUCUUGCAAUGAUUAGUUUGCUUGUUAAACGGUCUUCUGAUGAGAAGUUUACUGCUUGCAACCACAAAGUUUCAUUAGUAAUUGAUUUCAGAAUAAAUUUACCUGCAUGCAUUUGUGAAAUGCAUGUAUAUGUAUUCUUUUGAUAUAUUCUUUCUAUAUGUGUGUAUAAGUUUUUGAAGAAAUAAAAUUUAAAUAGUUAUAAUUAACCUUAUAUGCACGCAAUACAUGUUAUUUAAAACAAAUGUUAAUUGAUUCAAAACAUUAUUUUUCCCCCAUAAUGGAAAUAAUGUUAUCUUAAUUAUAAAAAUCAAAUUGGACUGAAAUUUAUUGUCUAAUUCUAUCUUAGAUUUUAAGUUAAUUACAUUAUACGUAAAAUAUUCCUCAUUCAUAAUAUGAUUUCCCUCUAAUACAUAAAUUAUAAUUGUGAAAGUGUAAGGAAGUUUUUAAAAUUAACGUAUAUAUAAUGUGAUAAAUAAAAUUUUUAAUAAUUUUACUUAAAAAGUCAAAAUUGGCUGUUAAAUUAAUAAAUUCUAUAGAAUUCUGAAAUUUUAAUAAUAAUAAUUUUUUGAAGAAACAGAUUUUUAAUGUUAUUGAUUCAAAAUAUGUUUUUUUUCCAUAUAAUGAAAAUAAUGUUGUCUAAAUUAUAAAAGAUUAAUUAGGCUAAAAUUUAUUACCUAAUUCUAUCUUAAAUUUUAAGUUGAUUACAUCAUACAUAAAGCUUUUCUCAUUCAUAAUAUGAUUUCCUUUUAAUACAUGUAACAUGAAUGUGAGCUACAACAAAUAAGAAAAACCAAGUUAAUUUCUUGUGGAUACAUGAGUGUGAAGCCUUUGAAUUAAAUGGAAGAAGUACAAGCCGGUGAAAAAAGAUUUUAAUAUUAACUAUGAAUUAGCUUAAACAAAAGUAGAAGCAUUGAUGAAAAAAUCAAAUGUAUUUUAAACUUGAAACUAGAAAGAUAAGUAACAAUUCUUGUAAAAAAUAAGUCCUCUUCAAAGUUAUAUAUGUUUUUACAAAAUGAAAUUUUAAUUUAAAAUGUUAUAAAAGUUUUAAAACUUCAAUUUCAUUAUUAAACCAAAUCCUCAUUCUUCAUUUUAUUUAUUUUGAAAUUAGAAAACCUUAAUUAAACUAAUCAUCAGUAAUUAAAUAUACUCUUUCAUUAUUAUUUGGGUGAUUGAUAAAGAAAUGAAAUUAAAGUUGCAACGAUAUCAUUUAAUAGAUAUUUUUUUGCUUCGUGUGUUCUAAAUUUGUGUUGUUUAUUUUUAUUUGAUAAUGUGUAAUUGCAACUUCAAUUCUUUGAUAGUGUGUUCUAAUUUUAAAAUGUUGCAGUAAUGGCUCGUCUGCCUUUAAUUGCACAAAGUGUGAGGCGUAAAAGAAUUAGUAUUGCUGUGACAAUAUGGUUGGAAAUCUGUAGAAUCGCGAUUUGGUUCUUAUUUAGAAUGGGUGCCAGCCUUAGCCUACAUAGACCAAGGAUUAGGUCCUAUACCGUAGAUUUUUAUGCAAAACGGGAUUAUGUGAAGAGGCUUGUAUAUGCUAGUGACGAGACCUGUAUUGAACAAGUUAGGAUGAAUAGAGCUGCCUUUUUUAAACUAUGUGAGAUGUUAGAAUCGAUAGGGGGAUUGAAGUCGACAAGGUUCAUGCUUGUUGACGAGCAAGUAACAAUGUUUUUACAUAUCAUCUUCCAUCACCUGAAAAAUCGAGUUAUCAAGUAUCACUUUAGAAGGUCCGGGGAAACUGUUAGCAGAGCAUUUCAUAGUGUUUUAAAUGUUAUCAUACGCUUGCAAGAUGUGUUAUUUAAAAAGUCGGAGCCAAUUACAACCGAUUCUUCUGACACAAGGUGGAAAUGGUUUAAGGUAUUGGACUGAGUUUUACAUACAGCUUCAACAACAUUUACUUGAUUUAGAUUUAAAUUAGUACUCUAACUCAAGGUUUUAUAUCAUGUGAUAUAGAAUUGCUUAGGUGCUCUUGAUGGAACCCACAUCAAGAUUAAGGUUCCAACAGUUGAUAAACCUAGAUAUCGAACGCGAAAAGGUGACAUAGCAACAAAUAUGCUAGGUGUUUGUACACCUGAGAUGCAAUUUGUUUAUGUUCUUCCUGGUUGGGAAGGUUCAGUUGCUGAUGGACGGGUUCUUCGAGAUGCCAUUAGUAGAAGACAUGGAUUAAAAGUUCCUCAUGGUAAAGUGUAUAGUUAGAGGACUUUGAAUUAUUCAUUAAGAUCAAACUUUGCGUGCUGAAUUAAUCAUUUUUAAAAAAAAAUUAUUUUAUAGGUUGUUAUUAUCUAGUUGAUGCUGAAUACACAAAUUGUGAGGGAUUUCUUGCACCAUUUAGAGGACAGCGAUAUCAUUUGAACGAGUGGCGUCAGGGUUAUCAGCCAAGUUCUCCGCAAGAGUUUUUUAAUAUGAAACAUGUCUCAGCACGUAAUGUUAUUGAAAGAUGCUUUGGCUUAUUAAAACUUAGAUGGGGAAUACUUAGGAGUCCAUUGUUUUAUCCUAUAAGGGUGCACAAUAGAAUUAUUAUUGCAUGUUGUUUGCUCCAUAAUUUUAUUUGAACCCAUAUGAGUAUUGAUCCCAUCGAAGCGGAGGUGGGAGAAGGAUUACCUACAAAUAAUGUGGUGGAUGACGAAGAACCGAAUAUCACAAAUAUUCAUCCAUCGGAUGCUUGGGCUACUUGGAGGAUGGAACUAGCCAACCAAAUGUUCGAUGAAUGGCAAGCAUCUAGAAAUUAGUUUGUAAAACUUUCGUGAAACUUUUGUAUUGAUUUUUGUAUUGUACUAAACUGGUUGAAUUAUAAUAUAAUUUCUUCUAAUUCAGCACGUGUUAUAAUUUUAAAUUUUUUGUGGUAUGGAGCUUUUGAUUCAUGAUACUCAACUUAAUUCCUUAGAUUUUAUAAAGUGUUGACCUUUUGAAUCAUGAUAUUAAAAUAGUAAUUAAUAUAAAUUGUUUUUUUUCUUAAGAUUAUUAUGUCAGGUGUUCCAGAAUCAAAUGCUUCUUCUCAAGCUUCUCGAGGAAGCAAAAGAAAAUGGGUUCCCGAGGAAGAUGCAGCAUUAGUUUCCUGCAUGGUGGACAUGCACAAUGUUGGAACAUUUAAUGUUGAUACCGGGUUCAAAGCCGGUUAUUUGAACGAGUUGGAAAGAAUGCUACAAACAGUUUUACCAAAUGCAAUGUUGAAGGCGAAACCUAAUAUUGAAUCAAGGAUUAGGUUACUUAAAAGGGAGUGGUCAAUCGUCUACGACAUGCUUAAUGGCCAAAACAAUAGCGGUUUUGGUUGGGACGAGCAUAGACAGCUUGUUGUUGCUGAAGAUGCGGUUUGGGAGUCCUAUUUAAAGGUAAGAUUAUUUCAAGUCUUUAUUAUAUUAUUUUUACCAAACUUAUGACUAAUAUGAUUUCCUCAUUUUUUUAGAGUCACAGAGAAGCCGCUCAAUUCAGAUAUCGUACUUUCCCUUACUACGACCAGCUUACUACCAUAUACACAAGAGAUCGAGCAACUGGGAAAGAUGCUCAAACAACUACUGAUGUUCUUGAAGAAGUAAAUGCUGAGGAUGUUCGUACUACAGGUAUGGAUGAAGAAAGAAACUCAUUCUAUGACUGCGAAGCUGACAUCCCUUUGGAUGACAUGGAUGUUUCUGCUGCGGAGCCGCAACGAGAUAGAGACCAAGGGGGUUCCUCAUCUUCAAACAAGAGAAGAUAAUGUGUAUUCUUCAUUUGAUGAGGCUGCCACUUUGUUGGGGGAAAAAAUCCAGGCCAUUGGCGAUCAAAUCAGUAUGUGUAUUGCCUCCGAGGUGGUAGUUCAGCAGAAGUCAGAAGAAUAUCAAAAGAUGGAAGAGAAAGCUUCAAAUUUAUAUUCAGCCUUAUGGUCAAUUGAAGGUUUAACUGACGAUCAGCGGUAUGAUGCUUUGAGUAAAAUUCCCGAUCAUCCAACUCAAAUGAUCGUUUUCUUUAGUUUACCUUCUGUUGCCCGAUUGGAAUGGGUCAGAAGAUUUCUUUCUCACCAUUAAAUAUCAAUGUUCAAACUUUUUGAUGUUGUAAAACUAUAUAACAUAUGGAUUAUGAUGUAGAAUUUCAUUUUCAUCUAACAUUUUCUUAAUAUAAGUUAAUUAUGUUUAUGCAUAAUGUAAUUCUCAAGUUAUAUAUUGAUUUUAGUAAAUUCAUAUAAGAACAUUUUAUUAUUAAGAAUUUUAUGAAAUUAUAUAUCAUUAUUAAAUUAUAUUUAAUAUUAAUUAUUUUAAAUUGUAUAAAUUCAUAUAAGAAAAUUUAUUAUUAAGAAUUUUAUGAAAUUAUAUAUUAUUAUUAAAUUAUAUGUAAUAUUUAUUAUUUUAAAUUAUACAAAUUCAUAAAAUAUAAUUUAUUAGUUAUAAUUAUUUUAAAUUUUAUUAAAUCAUAUAUUUUAAUUUAAAUAUAUUUAAUAUUAAUUAUUUCAAAUUUUCUUUUAUAGUAUCAUAUAUUAUGAUUUGAAUAAAUUCAUAUAAGAAUAAUAAUUAUUAAGAAUUUUAUUAAAUUAUAUAUUUUAAUUAUAAUAUAUUUAAUAAUAAUUAUGUUAAUUUAUAUUUUACAGUAUCAUAUAUUAUGAUUUGAGUAAAUUCAUGUAAGAAUAUUAAUUAUUAAGAAUUUUAUUAAAUUAUAUAUUUUAAUUAUAAUAUAUUUAAUAAUAAUUAUGUUUAAAAUAUAUAAUUCUUAAAUAUAUUGGCUAUGCCAAUACACCCAACCAAACAUGAUGUUAGGAUUUAAUGAGACUUGGAAUACAAAAGCAUUAGAACAUAAGAACUAAUGAUGAAGUCGGAAAUUUUGUUUAGAGAGACCGAAAUAAGAUUAUAAAAAUUAAGAGGGGGCAAAGUUAAAAUUUUUUGUAUUAAAAAUGCUUAAACUAAAUUAUUACUUUUCCAAAAGGACUUGAAUUAUGAUUUUUCCAUUAAAAAAGAUUAAAUCAAGUCUUUUAAUUUUGAGAAUGAGCUAUAAAUGAAAUUAUUCCAUUGAGCCAAGGUGCCCAACCCUCCCCUUUAGCUAUGCCUUCAAUAAUAAGAUUAACCCAAAUUUUUUUUGUUUUCUUUUUCUUUACGUAUGUUGAUUGAAAAAAGAAAUUGUUAAUAAUAGUUUUUUAGAUAUUAUAAAUAGAAGUGUUUAUGAGUCGAUUUUGGUUGGUUCAGGAUAUAGUUCCAUGUAUAGUACAUGUAACAACCCGGUUUUGACCUUAAUCGGAAAAGUGGUUUCAGGACCACAAAUCCGAGUCCUAAAAAUAUUUUAAUAUUAUUUUCUGUAAUUUUUAUGUGUGAAUUUACUUGUGUGAAAAUUUCAUGAUUUAAUUUCGUUUUUUGAGUGUCCGAUUAAAUAAAAAGAUUAAAUCGCGUAAAAUAAAAAUUUUGUGAUUAUUUUUAGAAGGGCUGAAUAGUGGAUGUUCUUUUAAUAUGGAGGUUUUAUGUGGCAAUUAAUCCAUUUAAAUGCUAGUGGACGGCAUUAAGUGAUAGUAUAUAGUUUUUAUAUUAUUAAUAUUAAUUAUAAAGGUUAUAAUUAUGUAUAUUAUAUUAUUAUGUUAUAAUAAAAAUAUUAUAAGCCAUUAUCAUUUCAUUUCAUUUUUUUUCUUCAUCUUUAUGACCGAAACUAAACAAAAGAAAAAGAAAGAAGAACCUAGCUACAUUCGGCCGUUUUGAAUUUUGAUUAAGGUUAGUUCUUUGUUCGGUUUUUGAUAAUUUUUACGUUUUUUAUAUCGUUGUUUUGUGUUCUUCAACACCCAUGCUUCAAUUUUGUGAAUUGAUGAUGAUUUUGAAAUGUGCCAUUGAUGGAUGUUUGAGUUUUAUGAUGUUAGUUGAUGAAAUAUGAAAUAUAUGUGUUAGAUUAACAUGUUUUGUAUUGGGAUUUUUGAUGAAUUUGAGUAUUUAGGGCUAAAUUGUGAAAAUAAAUUUUUGAUGGACUAAAAUACGAAAUAAAUGAAAGGCAUGGACUUGUAUGAGUAUAAUGAAGUUUCGACCUAACCAUAGUAUAGUCAAAAUUUGAAUGUUUUGUGUUUUGUGUAAUUCGAACUAAAUUGUGAAAAAUGUAAAAUGUUAGGGGCAAAUUUGUAAUUUUCCAUUUAUGUGUUUUUGGAUUAAAUUGAAGUUAAUAAUAUUUAAACUAGCUCAUUUUGAAUAUGUUUAGAUCAAGAACCAAAGAAAUCGGAGCUAGAUCGGGGAAAAACCAAAAUCGUCGACUAAUUAUCCGAUUUCAAUUUUUCACAGUCCGAGGUAAGUCUAAUAGCAAUUUAAAUGUUAUAAAAUUGGAAUUUAUAUAAAUAUAUCUAUCAUACAUUUAGUAAGCUGGAACUAAAAGUAUAUAAUUUGAAUAAAAUUUAGUGAUUUUUCUAUGUGAUAGCCGAACAUAGAAAUUGAUUUUGGGAGGUUGAUAUUAAUGGUAUAAAUUACAUGUAUAUUAGCUAAAGUAUACUUUAAGUUCAAUGAUAUGAGACUAAUAGUAGAAUUUACAUGGAUAUGUAGUUAGAAUGUAAGAUUUAAUUUCUUGAGUUGAAUUUAGAGUUAUGAAUUAUAUAUAUAAAGUUUGAAUGUAUGAUAUAAGUUCUUUGAGCUGAACAUAAUAUUAUGAAUUAUAUAUAUAUGCACAUAUGGUUCGAAUAUAUAUAUUUAAAGGAUCAUCCUUGGAUCUGAGAUUUUCAAGCUUAAUGCCUAGCAGGCUUGAUGUUGGUGAAUUACUUCAGACUUUAUGUCUAGCAGGCUUGAUGUCGGUGAAUUACUUCAGACUUUAUGUCUAGCAGGCUUUGUGCCGGUAAAAUGUAUCGGCCUUUGUGCCUAGCAGGCUUUAUGCCAGUGUUUUAUACAAGGUUCUAUGUUCUAUAAAUCUUAUGUGAGCAAUAGUAAAAGCAAAUAAAUGUAUUAAGAAAGCUAAAUUAUUCAGGUAUGUGUUAGCCAUUUGCUUAAUUAGUGUUAAGGUAAGUUGAUUAUUUUAAAUUGAUAAUAGUUUCAAAUGAAAUAUAGAGUAUGAGUUAACCAUUUGAAUAUAUGCAUGUUUUGGCAUAAUGAUUUGUUGAAAAUUUGGCUUUGCUAAAUAUUUAUGUGUAUUUAGCCAUAUGGUUUGUUUAUAUGAAAAUAUAAUGUGAUUUUUAUUAAAGUGUUAUAUGGUACAAAAUAUUAGGAUAUUUGGUUUAUUUUAACUUAAUGAUGGAAUAAGUAUUAGUAUAUAUAUGUAUAUGAAUUUUUGCUUAUGACUUACUAAGCUUUAAUAGCUUACUGUAUGUGUUUUUGUUUACCUCUGUUUUAUAGAUUUUGGAGUCGCGUUACGAGCUCGGGGAUCAUCAACAUAGUCUAUCACACUAUCGACUUCUUUUGGUAUUUUAGUAAAGUUUGAACUCGAUCUUAUGGCAUGUAUAGGCUUGAUUAUGUUUUUGGUUAGUUUUGGAUCAUAAUAUAUAAAUAGCCAUGCGAAAAUGGUUUAAUUUCCAUGUUUGUGUUCGGUUUGGUUUAAAAAUGGCUUGUUCAUGAUCAUUUUGUUUAAAUUGGGUUUUAUGUGUUUUUGAAUGGGUGCUUGAUGUGUUUAAUUUUUAUGCUUGAAUUUAACUACAUUUGAUCAUGAUUUGAGCUUGCAUUUGAAUAAGAUAUUCAAGUUACAUGUAUGUGAUAAAUUUGGUUUAUGUUAGAUAUUAAAGUCUUGUGAUAUAAGUUGAAUAAAAAGGUGAUAUUUAGUUAUGUGUUUCGGCAAUAAGAUUAAUAUUGGAUGUUAGUUGAAUUAAGAUUAUGUUAUGUGAUAAUUAGGUAUUUAGACAUAUUGUAUAUACAUGUGGUGUAUUUAAAUUAUGUUUGAUUUGAAAAUGUAAGUGAUUAUAUGAUUCAGUUUUGGUGUUCAUAUUUAUAUUAAUAAGUAGGUGUUUUGGAGAAUAUUAAGAAAACAUAAAUAUGCUAUGGUUUGAGUGUUAUAAUGACCGAAUAUGUCUUAAUUAGUUUUGUAGUGAUAAUGAAAUAUGGAUGUUCGGAAAUGACCCAUUUGGAGUACACACAUGCACAAGCUUGUAAUAGGUUAAUAAGUGUUUAAUAUGUACAUAAUGAACUGGUUAUGAUUAGUGUAUUAAGCCUACUUACAUACGGACAUGUUAUAUAUAUAUAUUAGUGAUGAGUUUGUUAUAAAUUGCAAAUUAUGGAACAAUAUAUUUUAGUUCGAUACUAUGCAAUAUUAAUUGCGUGCGAUGUAAUUUAGUUGAAUGAAAAUAGAUAUUUACUAAAACAUAUGAAUUACCAAGUUUAUUUUCAGCUUUUGUAUUACCAACUUGUGUUAUAAUAAAACUAGAAACGUAUAUGUGUUUUAAGUAAAUUGGUUUUGGUUAUUUUAAUUUUAAUGACUAAGUUGUAUAUAGAAAUAUAAUGAUAAGUCUAUUAAAUUCAGUCAAUGUAAGUUAUUGAAUGUAAACGCAUGAUGUGCCGAUUAUGAAAAAGUGAUUUUUGAUAUUUUUUCUUAUGAUUUAUGUGACUACAUAUAUGUUCGUUUUAAAAUAUGGAAUAAUUCAUAAAGAGUUUAUGUUAGCUUUAUGAUUUAAAUUUUGAUUGAUUUAAGAGACUUGUUUAUGUGUACUUGUAAAUUGUUCGGAUGUGUGCUUUGUUCGGAUGUGUGCUUUGUUUAGUAAUGCCUCGUAACUCUAAUCCAACGACGGACACGGGUCGGGGUGUUACAGUACAAGCCUUAAGAAAAUAUGAGAUUCAAAAAAAAAUACAUCUAUAUUUAUAAAUAGUUAAUCCUAACCUAUUUAGGCUUGCUCAUAUAUACUUUUAAAAAGUUUAAUAAAAUGUUAAUUUUAUCAAAUAUUUAGUAAUGUUGUUGAUCAUCGAAAUCAACAAGGGGAGAAGACUGGUUGGAAAUGUGGCAGUUCACUUUGAAGGGCAAAGAAUUGUUAAUCUAUAGUGAUGAGGAUGGAUGUGAAUGUUAUGAAGAAGGUAGAGACAUAGAUGAUUGGCUUAGUUUAAGAUGUUGGAACAGAAAAGCCUCUCGUUAGAAGGAGAGAGCUUAUAUACGAGACAUAGAUGAGAUGCCAUGUGUCAAUGUUUUGCUAGCGGAAAGGUCACCUCUUGUCCAUUUAUAGAGGUGGCAAUGUGACCCUAUAGAUUAACAAUGUGACAUUAUAGGAAAACUUAGCAAUCAAUGUGCACGAGGCUUAAGUAAUCUUGAUAGAGGUAGUCUAAGGUGGAGGUUCACUUUGUGGCGUGGUAUUUAAGGGGUAACAUGUGGAGCCAUUUGUGGGGCUAGUAUAAAAAUUACCCCCUCCAAAUGAGGAGAAGGUUAUAAAGUGAUCUCUAUCGUAUUUUAAUAUGUUAAGUAUUGGUAAUCGAGAUAAGUCGAAAUAAUAAAAUUUUUUAACCAUUCUUGCAUUUAGAACAAUAUACUAAAGUGAAAUAAGGGCCAUUGUGAAAAACAAGAGACAUGGCCAUGUGCUUCACCCGUGUAGGACUUUGUGUCCAUGUGGGUUUUGGGAAUCGUGUUUAAGUUUGAAAAUCAAGGGAUAAUUUGCCAAAUUAAUCCCUAAAGUUUAUCUAGCUUAACCCUUGUUCAAAUCUCAAAUUUUAAGCCAAAUUAAUUCAAAUAUAAAUCAUAAUUAAGCAUUUUAAAACCCAAUUUUUUUAUACCAUUUAAUUAACAUAUAAUUUAAGCAAACAUCAAACUUCACAUUUAAGUUUCCUUCACAUUCAACCUUAAUACACCCACCUAGGUACAUGCCAUUUCUUGAAAUGACAAAAUUAAUACUUUACCCUUUUCUCGGAUCCACUGAUGUGAUGAGAUGAGAUGCCUUUGAUAUUCAAAUAUCCCUUUUCUUUUACUCUUAACCUACGUGUAUAAAGCAUGCGUUAAGCUAUUACUAGCUUAGUAAGUACAACUAGUAUUUAGAUCAUAAUCUAUGUUAUAAAUUAUAACUUAUUUAUUAUUUACUACACAAAAUCAUUUAAAUGACUUGUUUGUAUUCAUCAUACAUAAUUUACCAAUCAAUUCACUUAUUAUUACAAUUAGGUCCACAUUUUAUUAUUUUCUCAUUAUACACCAACUAAACAUAUUAUUUAAUUAUCAUCUAUAUAAUACUAGAAUCACAUGAUUUAUUUUAAAUUUAUCGUUUACUCCAUUUAGCUAAAAUUUCAAAUAAUUUACUUUUCUUAUUUCAACCAUAUAUUUUCUUGUGUUUCUCAAUUUCAUAAUUUUUCAACACAUAUAAUCUAUAUAAUUCAAUAAUCACUAAAAUAGUUUUGUACCUUUUUUAGAGGCCCAGUAGACUUAAUAGAACACAAAGGAUAUACAAAAUAGAACAGAACACCAUCGAAGCAAAUAACAGAACACCGCUGAAGCGAAUAAUAAAACACCGCCAAAGCGGAUAAAUAGAGAGCACUGAUGUGUUAAUAAUCAGAGAGUACCAACAUGCUAAUAAUUAGAGAGCGAACUAAGGUUCCUUAAUGGCAUGCCACUAAUAUCCUAAUAGUUCUUAUCUCGUCUACUUAGGCAAGUCAUAACAUACACACGUCAUUUUUACACUUUUUACCAUUUAAUCCUUAUAACAAUACUUUGUAUAAUUAUAUCUUCCUCUUUCAUUGACACAUGUAACUUGUCUCAAUAUUUAAUAAUCUUCCAUAAUUCCACUAAUAAUUCUUAUUAUACAUUUCACCUAUCACUUUUACUUACUUUACAAUUUAGACCUCAUCAUGACAUUUCAUGUAACAAUAUAUUUUUCUUUCAAUUUCGUACAUAACAUAUUUCAUUUCUCUAUUUAAUUUCCAUAUUCCAUCACAAUUUCUUAUCACAUUCACAUGUCAUUUUCAUUUUUUUAUUUCUAAAUUUUGUCCUUGAGGCAUCAAAUCCACAAAUAGAAUGUUUUACCAAUUAAUAUAAUUUCCAUAAUUCAUCACUAAUCUUUAUUAGUUCUUUUUACAUGAUUUUUACGCUUUUAACAUACUAAUCCUUGUCUUUCAUUUUUCAUCAAACAUAUAUACAUUAUUUCACAUAUUUCUCUUCACAUUUAAUUACAUAAAUAUAUAGUUCCAUCAACUUUUACAUCCUCCACAAUUUAGUCUCUUUUUUUAUGCACUUUAAAUCUUUUCUCGCAUUUCUUUCAAUUUCUUUAUCACAUAUUACUUAAUAAAUGCAAUCAAUUCAUUAUUUAUUAUAUUUAAUCAUUAUCAAGCCUUAUUCUUCACUUAUUCAACAUAUAAAUUUGUAAUUAAAUAUUAUAUUACAAUUAUAUUCAUUCUAACAAUCAACUUCAUAAUGAAAACAAGUCAGAUUCUAGUUGUACUUACAACUUUAGACUUGAAAUCAACUCUCUUCUCCUCUUUCUCCCUUUGUCCACUUCCUUGCUUUAUUUCUCUAUUUGUUUAUCAACUUCCUUCACUUUUCUUCACUUUUCCAUAUCAAAAUACACAAUAUUUUCACAUUAAAAAUCAUGUUCACAUAUCAUAAUUUAUAUUUUCUGAUCAAAACUAACAUGUAUUUCAAAAGAAGUUGAUAGUUCUUACCUCAAACACUUAUAUUCAAGUUUAAUCCUUAUUUUCUCUCUCCUCCAAAACUCCCAUGAAUGCUCUUCUCAUGAAAUUAAUGUAAAUAUUAUUCAUUCCCAUUGAUUUCACUCACAAAUGAUGAAGAAAUUUAGGAAAAACUAGCUUAAUUGGUUUGUAUUUGGUGAGAAUGACUAAAUUGAAAGAAAAAUAAAAGUUGAAAUGAUGGAAAAGUGGUGGCUGACGUGAGGCACCAAGGCUGAUGGCUUUUAUAGCCUCUUUAUCCUUUUCUUUCUCCAUUUUUC